AUACAUGCAUAGAAUAAUAAAAUAAUCAUAAUAAUAAUAAUAAAAUAUAACUAAAAUGUACCGAAAAAUAACACACCUUUAAAAAAAACAGAAUACAGCAAGCGUUAUGUAUAAAUCAUCAAUUGUGUAAAACAGCAAGUGUCGAAUACAGCAAAAAAUGCGGGCAAAAAACAAAGGACACAUCAAUGUGAUAACCAUAGACUAAUAAAAUAGCCAUAAUAAAAAAUAUGUGUAAAUAUAACUAAAAACAUACCUUAAAAAGCAGAAUGCAGCAAAAAGCGUUUGAUGAUAAAAACAAGUAACAACAAAAAACAUAUUGGCAGUGAACGGAGUAAAAAGCGAGCAAACUACCGAUAUGUGUUAAGCAUUUACUUGUAAUUGUAAAAACAGUUGUCGAAAAAACAUUAUACACUACAGACGCGGCCCGGAAUGUGUGGACGGCUAACUCUACACUCUACGACGACGACGGUACGAAUGUACGAUAGAAAAAUGUUUUUGUAAAAAUCGGUACAGAAAAACAGAACACAUAAGAAAAACAAGUGAUAAACAACGAAACACUGAUAACCAUUCAACGAAAGUUCUCGGCGAGAAAAUACAAAAAUGUCGAGUACACGGAUGUUAUCAGCAGUAGCGGUUUUCGACAAAACCACUAAAAGCAAGAAUCGAGAAUAAUAAGAUUGAAAAAUAAUACACUUAAUUUUGAUUAAAAAUAUUGGAUAAAAAUAUCUAGGAAUGUAUAUGAAUAUUUUUUACAAUAAAAAGUCCCGCUAGAUUUACCCCCCUCAAAAUAGUAGCAAAAAUAAAAAAAAGUAAUUAAUUGCUGAGCAAUAGGUCUACCAAUAGAUCGAAUAAUAUGUUUGUGACUGAUAAAAUCAAUCAUCGAAUCGAUGGUUUUGACAAACACAAAUAUGUUGUGCAUAUGGCCCCUGAGAUUCUUAGUAUUAUUGACUAGCAAAAACCAAUAUUGACCAAUAGGUCCUUUGACAAAACAAAAAUAUGUUUACGACAAAUAACCCAAAAAGACCCUGAAAACCUGUAUAAAAGGGGUGUGCUUGUACGAAAUGCUUCACAUUACAAGUUCGAGUGUCGUAGUGACUAUUUGAUACUGUCCUACGCACGGCAAAAAUGCAUCGCACCUAGUUAUCGUGAAAACAUCAGAAGACCCAGGCAAAAACAAACCAGGCAACCAUCUCCAUUCCUAGAUUCUCUCUUGGCUCAGCGACUGCUGUGAGUGUGACCAAACCAGCAAACAGUUCUCCACUUGUGUGAAAGGCAGCAAAUCACAAGUUCUAGCGACUAUUUGAUACUGUCCUACGCACGGCAAAAAUGCAUCGC